ACGCACGCACGCACGGGCAACCAGAGCACCUGCUCCCGCGCCAGUCAUCGCCAUUGCCGAUUGCUGCUGCCAGCUGACGCCGGCGGCCGUCGAAUCGACCAACCAAAGCCGGCCAGGCGCCGCGCCAUCCUGAUAGCCCAAUGUCUCUGCUACCGCUGUUCCUGAGGCCGGCGGCGCGGUUCCUGGGGCCGUUCGUGGCGGGCCGGCCGGCGGAGGCGGCGGCCACGGUGCUGCACCGCGCCGGCAUGCUCCCGAGGAACCGGGCGCUGCGGCGGCUCGUCAGGGACGACCUGCUCGACGCCGGCGGCCACGACUGCAUCGCGCGUCUCGUCGUCAGCGUGGUGAGCUGCCUCUGCUAGAUCGCCGACCCGGCGGUGCUCCGCUCUCCACCCCCGGUUCGUAGAUUAUCAGUAAUAACUUUUCCUGUUGUUAAAAACAAAAUUGGGCAGAACCUCCCCCGUAAACAUGAAGAAGAAAAAAAAUCCACAUCUCGGACUUAAAUUAUUUCAAAAUUUAAUUCAAAAGAUUGGGCAGAACCUCCCCAGUAAUUUGACGCCACACAAUUCACAUAUACACAUUUCAACACACAAUAUUUAAAUUUGCCAAUGGCAUGAGACAUAAAUAUUGAAGUUCACAUCCAAGUAUAUAUAUGACUUGCAACCUAUCCAGGUUCACAUAUAUGAGUCCAAGUCCGACCAUACAUCAUAUGAGCAACACAAAAGUGACUCUCAUCAUAUCCAGGCAACAGGUUCACAUACAUAGUCUAAGUCCAUACAUGCAUGCCACGAGUAGCACAAAAGUGACUUUAGAAUCACGUACAUGAGUGCAAGUCCACGCAACGUAACAUGAGCAGCACCAAGAACAUGUGUUAUCCGUAUUUCCAAUUCCAGCGUUAGAAUAUUUUGGCGUUUGGGAACUUGGAGUUCUCCAGCUGCACAGAACAACGGGCGGGACUAAAAAUGACAUGGCCACGUGAGAGACUACAACCAAAUAUAGGCAUUGCAAAUAGCAAUAAGAAUAAAAUCAUAUAAGUAAUUAACUUUGAAGAAUAAAUAGAAUAAUAAGAGGUCUAGUGUUAGGAAUUAAGAAGCAACCGAUGCAACGAACAGGGGAUGAUUAAUAAUGGGAUCUGUUAAAUCACCGUUAUGAUUUGAUUCUGGACAAUGCAUCGGUUAGUGAGCGCACACAAAAUGAAUCUAGCCAUGCAUCACAUUCAAAACCUUGCUAUGUUAUACCGUCGUAUAAACAGUAAGCCGUGACGAUGACAAAUGACAAGGACAUGCAUCUUAUUUUCCAAAACAAGGACAUAUAUCUUCAAUAUUGAAUUAUUGAUACUUUCCUAUGUUAUACCGUAGUACAAGGAGAUUAAAAGAUGCACAUAUUAUGGAUGGGGUAUCCCCUGGCCGGAGUCUCCAACCAUGCCGGUGGCCGAGCCCCCAGCCACUGCCGCGCCCGAGCCCGCUGCAGCCGAGCCACCGCCACCUGCAGAAGUUGUGCCAUCACCACCCUCAGCCGCGCACUCACCCCCCCCCCCCCCCCCCCCCCCGGCCCAAGCCCACCGCAGCUCCACCAUCACUAUCGGUCACCAACGCUGGAUCCACAGCCGCGCCUUGGCCGUCUUCCGCGGCCGUCUCCAUCCACUGCACCGCCUCCAUCCAUAUCCCUAAGCCGCCGCCGCCGCUAGGGCUGGGGAGAAAGGGGAUGAGAAGAGAGCGUCGGGUCGGGACUCGGUAGAGAAGAGAGGCCUUUGUUUUUCUUUUUUCUCAAGUUUAAUUGUUUAUUAUGAACACGGGCAAUUUCGUCCAACUGCAAAGAACUGACAUUGGUUAAUGCAGAUUUUAACGGUGUCUCCUAACAGAACUGGCGGAAGUGUUGGGGAGAAUUAUUUUUUUAUUUUUUUGCAGUGUUAAAUAGGGAACAAACAUUCAAAACAGUGUUAUAUAAGGAGUUUUCUCGUCAAAAUAAGGCCACCCACCACGCAAUCAAUAGUCUCAAUUGAACGAGAGCGCUUCCCCCUAGGGAGCUUAGUGAUAUAGUAGGAGACUAGUACAAAACACGCUGCACGCAAACACACGCCGUACUUUGCUUGUUGGGGGUAACAAUCAGUCUGACCAAGCCGAGCAAGCGUACCGCUAAUCUAAGGCCUUCUUUGGAUUGGAGGAUUUUCACAGGUUUUUCAUGGGAUACCAAUCCUCAGGAUUGUUUCCUAUGGAACACAUUUGGAUCAAAGGAUUGGGCCAUUAAAAUUCCUCAGGAUUGGGUCUCCAAGGUGCUGAUUCCAAAGGAAUUUACACAUGAGGUCCGACCUCUGGAAAAAAUCCAUAAGAUUGGCUAUGUCAUGGCAAUCAAAUCCUUCAUUUUUUUCUAUUCCUUUAUUUUGCAAAUCCUGUGAUCCAAAGAAGCCCUGAGAGUGUCCCCUCUUUGCUCACCUCAUCUCUCUUGAUAGCUUUGUUUUGAUGAUGCCAACAGGUGAACACGUACGCACGUAACCAUCGUACCAUCAAAAAGGCACUGCUGAGUGACACGCGGACCAGAAGCUGCAGAGUCGGCGCCCGGCCGCGAUCGCGUCCAUGCUCCCUCUCAGGCGCGUGCGCUUGCUUGCACACCUGCCCAUCGAUCACACGUCCCAAAGAGGCUCCUGGCUCCCUCUCAAGCGCACCUCCAACACUGCCUGACAUUGCCAUUGCCAUUGCCGAUUGCUACUGCCAGUUGACAACGGGAUCCCAUACCUCAUGCACGCACGCACGCAUGUUAGAAUAGUAAUCCAAAAUAUAUUUGUGUGAUAGAAUUCGCCAGCACGUGUGCUAGUAGUAUUUCGUGUCCUAUCAGAGUCCUGCACGAACUAUGCAUGCCUGCAACGUACUAGUAGUAGUUGUGUACGAGUCAGCUUAGGUUUGCCUAGCAAUCAAGGUCGGCGGGUGAUUAGAUUUAGGAAGUACUAGUGUCCGAGUCUAGUACGAGUCCAUAUCAGCGGCAGUCAAGUCUAGCCGGAUCGUGUGUAUAUAUAUGUGUGCACGAGGCUGCGUGAGUUCUGUACUUUUGUAUCACGGCGAGAAAAGAAGAAAAGAAAUAAAGAGAAAAUAAAGGCACGACAAGGGCCCUUGGCUAUUUGCCAUUGCCGGUUGCCACCGCCAGUCGACACCGGCGGCUUUCAAUCACGGCGAGCAGUCCAGCCGGCCAGUCGUCGCGCCUCCUGAUCACAGUUCAAUGUCUCUGCUACCGCUGUUCCUGAGGCCGGCGGCGCGGUUCCUGGGGCCGUUCCUGGCGGGCCGGCCGGCGGAGGCGGCGGCCACGCUGCUGCACCGCGCCGGCGUGCUCCCGAGGGACAGGGCUCUGGAGCGGCUCGUCAGGGACGACGACGGCGGCGCCGAGGACUGCAUCGCGCGUCUCGUCAUCAGCGUGGUGAGCUGCCUCUGCUAGAUGGCCAGUUGAUACACUGUGGUUUGGGGAUUGAAGUUCUCCACUACUACUACAGGUUUAGCAUGAAGCAAGCUUCUUGCAGAUUAAUGCAACUUCAUUCAUUGGUUAACAGUGACCAACGACUUUUUUUUUACCUGUUCGAUAAUUUGAAGAGCAGCGCAUCCCGUCUGAACUAGAGACUGAGGCAACUUGUACAAAUAGCAAACGCGUAAAAUUAUUCAUGGCCCUUCGUUUCCAACUCAGCACUCCAAAAUAUAUUGUCAUGAUCCAUAAUUUAUAGAGAAAACAAGUAACCAAUAAAAGCUCAUAUUUCCAAAUUAAGAGAGAUAAGACAGAAGGCUAGUUAGAAAACAGACACAUAUU